rnacentral:rRNA from 1 species
GCGCCACUACUCUUACGGGAGGCAGCAGUGGGGAAUAUUGCACAAUGGGCGCAAGCCUGAUGCAGCGACGCCGCGUGAGGGAUGACGGCCUUCGGGUUGUAAACCUCUUUCAGUAGGGAAGAAGCGAAAGUGACGGUACCUGCAGAAGAAGCGCCGGCUAACUACGUGCCAGCAGCCGCGGUAAUACGUAGGGCGCAAGCGUUAUCCGGAAUUAUUGGGCGUAAAGAGCUCGUAGGCGGUUUGUCGCGUCUGCCGUGAAAGUCCGGGGCUCAACUCCGGAUCUGCGGUGGGUACGGGCAGACUAGAGUGAUGUAGGGGAGACUGGAAUUCCUGGUGUAGCGGUGAAAUGCGCAGAUAUCAGGAGGAACACCGAUGGCGAAGGCAGGUCUCUGGGCAUUAACUGACGCUGAGGAGCGAAAGCAUGGGGAGCGAACAGGAUUAGAUACCCUGGUAGUCCAUGCCGUAAACGUUGGGCACUAGGUGUGGGGGACAUUCCACGUUUUCCGCGCCGUAGCUAACGCAUUAAGUGCCCCGCCUGGGGAGUACGGCCGCAAGGCUAAAACUCAAAGGAAUUGACGGGGGCCCGCACAAGCGGCGGAGCAUGCGGAUUAAUUCGAUGCAACGCGAAGAACCUUACCAAGGCUUGACAUGAACCGGUAAUACCUGGAGACCAGUGCCCC